rnacentral:rRNA from 1 species
GUGCCAGCAGCCGCGGUAAUUCCAGCUCCAAUAGCGUAUAUUAAAGUUGUUGUGGUUAAAAAGCUCGUAGUUGAACCUUGGGCCUGGCUGGCCGGUCCGCCUCACCGCGUGCACUGGUCCGGCCGGGCCUUUCCCUCUGUGGAACCCCAUACCCUUCACUGGGCGUGGCGGGGAAACAGGACAUUUACUUUGAAAAAAUUAGAGUGCUCCAGGCAGGCCUAUGCUCGAAUACAUUAGCAUGGAAUAAUAAAAUAGGACGCGCGGUUCUAUUUUGUUGGUUUAUAGGACCGCCGUAAUGAUUAAUAGGGACAGUCGGGGGCAUCAGUAUUCAACUGUCAGAGGUGAAAUUCUUGGAUCAGUUGAAGACUAACUACUGCGAAAGCAUUUGCCAAGGAUGUUUUCAUUAAUCAGGAACGAAAGUUAGGGGAUCGAAGACGAUCAGAUACCGUCGUAGUCUUAACCAUAAACUAUGCCGACUAGGGAUCGGACGGUGUUAUUCAUGACCCGUUCGGCACCUUACGAGAAAUCAAAGUGCUUGGGCUCCAGGGGGAGUAUGGUCGCAAGGCUGAAACUUAAAGAAAUUGACGGAAGGGCACCACCAGGGGUGGAGCCUGCGGCUUAAUUUGACUCAACACGGGGAAACUCACCAGGUCCAGACACAAUAAGGAUUGACAGAUUGAGAGCUCUUUCUUGAUUUUGUGGGUGGUGAUGCAUGGCCGUUCUUAGUUGGUGGGGUGACUUGUCUGCUUAAUUGCGAUAACGAACGAGACCUUAACCUGCUAAAUAGCCCGCAUUGCUCCGGCAGU